rnacentral:rRNA from 1 species
AAAUUGAAGAGUUUGAUCAUGGCUCAGAUUGAACGCUGGCGGCAGGCCUAACACAUGCAAGUCGAACGGUAACAGGAAGCAGCUUGCUGCUUUGCUGACGAGUGGCGGACGGGUGAGUAAUGUCUGGGAAACUGCCUGAUGGAGGGGGAUAACUACUGGAAACGGUGGCUAAUACCGCAUAACGUCGCAAGACCAAAGAGGGGGACCUUCGGGCCUCUUGCCAUCAGAUGUGCCCAGAUGGGAUUAGCUAGUUGGUGAGGUAACGGCUCACCAAGGCGACGAUCCCUAGCUGGUCUGAGAGGAUGACCAGCCACACUGGAACUGAGACACGGUCCAGACUCCUACGGGAGGCAGCAGUGGGGAAUAUUGCACAAUGGGCGCAAG